UACAGGGGGUGCAAACGUUGCUCGGAAUCAUUGGGCGUAAAGCGCACGUAGGCGGUUCGUUAUGUCGGAUGUGAAAGCCCUUGGCUUAACCGAGGAAGUGCAUCCGAAACUGGCGAGCUAGAGUACGAAAGAGGAUCGCGGAAUUCCCGGUGUAGAGGUGAAAUUCGUAGAUAUCAGGAGGAACACCAGUGGCGAAGGCGGUGGUCUGGGCCGGAACUGACGCUGAGGAGCGAAAGCGUGGGUAGCAAACAGG
rnacentral:rRNA from 1 species